rnacentral:lncRNA from 1 species
UUCACAACACCAAAAGCUCCCAACAACACCCCAUUUUCGGUCAAGAACACCCCUCCCCCAUCUUCAUUUUCAAGCCACUUUCAUGAUGAUCAAGAUGCAUUUUCAUGGAACUUAGGAGGAUCUAAGACAACCACAAGUUGAAGCAAGCAUUUCCAUUCAUCUAAGAGCUUUCAACCAUCAAAUCUUCAUCUUCUUUGCUUCUUAUUUUCACCUAGAUCAUCCCUAGCCAAGAGCUAGAAGAUCAUUCAUGGAAACUUUUAUAUCAUAUGUACAUGAUACGGAGGCUCACAUAAUAUUUGAUGGCAAGUUUGUGAUACACGUUGGUCAUUAUCAUCAAGUCAUUUUAGUGUAACUAAAUUUACCUAAAAUCAAAAUACACAUUGAUAUUAGUUAGGAGGUGUGAAGUGCACAAAGGUUAAGACUAGCAUAUAUUUUUGACAACGAUGAACCCUAGGGUUCCUAGGGGGCUGUAUUCCCUCGGCGGGGGGAGUGGUUGAGCCCACAGCGAGCAAAAUUAUUGCUGAAGGAGUUGCAUGCUAAUAAAGUUACUACUGAUGAUAACCAAAUUAAAACAACAAUUUAAUUAUAUCGAAAACUGACACUUUCUCAUGAAGCAUUCGGUUAUUUCAACUAAAUAUUGUGCUGGUUCUAUAAAACAAAGCUCGUUUGCUUAUCGAGCCCGAGCUCGAGCCUCGCAUGUGAAGCUCGUUAGGCUCGUCGAGCCUUAUCGAGCCUUAGUGUAAACGAGCCGGGUCGAGCCAAGCUUAUUUAAACUUGUUUACAAGCUGACCUCGAACCUAAAAAUAAGCUUAUUUAGUAAACGCGCCCGAGCCCGAGCUUCACUUAUCGAGCUCGCGAGCCUAAAAAGUCUAUUAUUUAUAUUAUUUUUAUUUAAUAUACUAAUUAAUAGAUAAUAAACGAGCCGAGCCCGAGCCGAGCUCGAGCUUGAGAAAAUACAAACGAGCCGAGCUCGAGCUUUGAAAACAAAGCUCGAAUUGAGCCGAGCUCGAGCCCAAGCUCUCAUAAGUUAAUCGAACUCGAGCCUGGUCGAGCUCGGGCUCGGCUCGGCUCGUUUGCACCCCUACUUUAAUCUAAGAGUUAUUCAUGCAUGAUUAGAGAGACAUCUAGAAUCUCUAACAGGGUAAAAUAAAAAGGAAACAUUAACUAUUAACUAAAAGGAUAAUAUGCAAAAACAUAUUUUAUUACUGAUGAUAUAACUUUGAAAGUUAUUGACCAAAAAAGGUUUUUGGUUAACCCCCGUGACCUGUGUUAACAUGUGGAAAAUUUUAGCUAUUUUGACCUGAACAAGUUUUGACGUAUUACCCAUUCGGCUCAUUCGGACAUAUAUACCAAAACAUAUGAAGGAAGUAAGGAACCCUUUAGUGACAGAAUGAGGCAUCAAGAAAACUAACCACGGGGUCAGGUGCAUCCUCUUCCUUGCACAUUGACCAUGGGACGCAUGUGUUCAGUCCGACUUCCAUUUUUGCGGCCCAAUUCAUGUACGCUUUUCUAGGGGGUCCAAGUGACUUCCCUUGUGCACCAUACUCAUUCUCAAUCUAAUUUAAAAAUGUAUGAAUUGAAAUUUAAUCAAAACUACAUAGUU